rnacentral:rRNA from 1 species
UACAGAGGGGGCAAGCGUUAUUCGGAAUUAUUGGGCGUAAAGGGCGCGUAGGCGGCCUGGCAAGUGGAUGGUGAAAUCCCUCGGCUUAACCGAGGAACUGCCGUCCAAACUGCUUGGCUUGAGACCGGGAGAGGUGAGUGGAAUUCCCAGUGUAGCGGUGAAAUGCGUAGAUAUUGGGAGGAACACCAGUGGCGAAGGCGGCUCACUGGACCGGUACUGACGCUGAUGCGCGAAAGCGUGGGGAGCAAACGGG